rnacentral:tRNA from 3 species
GCGCCCUUAGCUCAGCUGGAUAGAGCAACAGCCUUCUAAGCUGUGGGUCAGUGGUUCGAAUCCACUAGGGCGCGCCA